AGUCAGAGGCGAUGAAGGACGUGCUAAUCUGCGAUAAGCGUCGGUAAGGUGAUAUGAACCGUUAUAACCGGCGAUUUCCGAAUGGGGAAACCCAGUGUGAUUCGUCACACUAUCAUUAACUGAAUCCAUAGGUUAAUGAGGCGAACCGGGGGAACUGAAACAUCUAAGUACCCCGAGGAAAAGAAAUCAACCGAGAUUCCCCCAGUAGCGGCGAGCGAACGGGGAGCAGCCCAGAGCCUGAAUCAGUGUGUGUGUUAGUGGAAGCGUCUGGAAAGGCGUGCGAUACAGGGUGACAGCCCCGUACACAAAAAUGCACAUACUGUGAGCUCGAUGAGUAGGGCGGGACACGUGGUAUCCUGUCUGAAUAUGGGGGGACCAUCCUCCAAGGCUAAAUACUCCUGACUGACCGAUAGUGAACCAGUACCGUGAGGGAAAGGCGAAAAGAACCCCGGCGAGGGGAGUGAAAAAGAACCUGAAACCGUGUACGUACAAGCAGUGGGAGCACGCUUAGGCGUGUGACUGCGUACCUUUUGUAUAAUGGGUCAGCGACUUAUAUUCUGUAGCAAGGUUAACCGAAUAGGGGAGCCGAAGGGAAACCGAGUCUUAACUGGGCGUUAAGUUGCAGGGUAUAGACCCGAAACCCGGUGAUCUAGCCAUGGGCAGGUUGAAGGUUGGGUAACACUAACUGGAGGACCGAACCGACUAAUGUUGAAAAAUUAGCGGAUGACUUGUGGCUGGGGGUGAAAGGCCAAUCAAACCGGGAGAUAGCUGGUUCUCCCCGAAAGCUAUUUAGGUAGCGCCUCGUGAAUUCAUCUCCGGGGGUAGAGCACUGUUUCGGCAAGGGGGUCAUCCCGACUUACCAACCCGAUGCAAACUGCGAAUACCGGAGAAUGUUAUCACGGGAGACACACGGCGGGUGCUAACGUCCGUCGUGAAGAGGGAAACAACCCAGACCGCCAGCUAAGGUCCCAAAGUCAUGGUUAAGUGGGAAACGAUGUGGGAAGGCCCAGACAGCCAGGAUGUUGGCUUAGAAGCAGCCAUCAUUUAAAGAAAGCGUAAUAGCUCACUGGUCGAGUCGGCCUGCGCGGAAGAUGUAACGGGGCUAAACCAUGCACCGAAGCUGCGGCAGCGACGCUUAUGCGUUGUUGGGUAGGGGAGCGUUCUGUAAGCCUGUGAAGGUGUGCUGUGAGGUAUGCUGGAGGUAUCAGAAGUGCGAAUGCUGACAUAAGUAACGAUAAAGCGGGUGAAAAGCCCGCUCGCCGGAAGACCAAGGGUUCCUGUCCAACGUUAAUCGGGG
rnacentral:rRNA from 1 species